rnacentral:tRNA from 1 species
GGUGAUGUAGCUCAGUCCGGUUAGAGCGGAGGAUUCAUAACCCUCAGGUCGGCGGUUCGAUCCCGCCCAUCACCACCA